GGGUCAAUGAUGAGAACUCAUAUUGUCUUGAAGAGAGAUGAUGACUUUAAAAUCAUGCUCACUAGGAUUACGCUGAGGCCC
rnacentral:snoRNA from 1 species